rnacentral:tRNA from 2 species
GUCCUCGUAGCUUAAUGGAUAGAGCAUUGGGUUGCGGACCCAAAGACUGGGAGUUCGACUCUCCCCGAGGACG